rnacentral:lncRNA from 1 species
GAAGUCUGUCUGCAGCCGUUGGAGUCGAGGAUGAAGCCCGGCUCCCAUAGGAGUCCGGGCGGAGUCUUCCUUUGAGGUUAGCAUCGUGGGCGGAAUCGUUGAUCGUGUUGAAGACUUCGGCUGUGGGUAUUUUAUACCCAACACAUAUGUUCGUUUGAAAUUAUGAUAUAUAAUGAUACAAAAGUAUUUUCAUACAAAUCAAAUUUUUACUCUCAACCUAACUAUGUUUUAGUGGGCCCCACCAGUGAGGAUUAUAGGUUGGUACUCAGUGGACCCUGCUAGUGGGGUUGUGCACUGGUAUUUAGUGGACCCUGUCAGUAG